AUUGAACGCUGGCGGCAUGCUUUACACAUGCAAGUCGAACGGUAACAGGGUGCUUGCACCGCUGACGAGUGGCGAACGGGUGAGUAAUGCGUCGGAACGUGCCGAGUAGUGGGGGAUAACGCAUCGAAAGGUGUGCUAAUACCGCAUACGUACUGAGGUAGAAAGUGGGGGACCUUCGGGCCUCACGCUAUUCGAGCGGCCGACGUCUGAUUAGCUAGUUGGUGAGGUAAAGGCUCACCAAGGCGCCGAUCAGUAGCGGGUCUGAGAGGAUGGUCCGCAACACUGGGACUGAGACACGGCCCAGACUCCUACGGGAGGCAGCAGUGGGGAAUUUUGGACAAUGGGCGCAAGCCUGAUCCAGCCAUGCCGCGUGUCUGAAGAAGGCCUUCGGGUUGUAAAGGACUUUUGUCCGGGAGCAAAUGCCUGGUGUUAAUAGCACUGGGAGCUGAGAGUACCGGAAGAAUAAGCACCGACUAACUACGUGCCAGCCGCCGCAGUAAUAC
rnacentral:rRNA from 1 species